rnacentral:tRNA from 1 species
CAGGGGAUAGUUUAUAAAAAAUAUUAAUUUUGGAGAUUAAUGAUAAGAAUUUUUCUUUCCCUUGA